CCGAUAGAAUCUUUAUUUUUCGGUGGGACUCUGGCGGUGGGGCCACCCAUGUUCAGGUGUUUUUCAUUGAAGUCAAUUUUUUUUGCACACUCGUUAGGGUGGGAUUCAAUCGACAUAGGGAUAUAUCUACCUGCCCCUCUUCCCCCAUUAAUACUCGAAUAACGCCUUGGUUGGGAGGGAAGAAUAGGAGAGAAAAGAAAAGAAUGGAAA
rnacentral:lncRNA from 1 species